AGCUGUUGUUGUCACCAUCUUUCACAGAAGAAUCUAUCAACUACAUGCAGACAAAAAUAAGUGAUCACAGACAGGGUCUUCUAGCUGUGUUUCCAGACUGCAAGCUCCGACCUAAACAUCAUUAUCUUGAACACUACCCAGAACUGACUCGCCGUUUUGGGCCUCUUGUUCAUCUAUGGACCAUGAGGUUUGAGGGAAAGCAUAGAUUUUUCAAAAGGGUGAUACAUGACACACACAAUUUCAAAAAUGUCUUGAAACCCCUGGCUACUAGGCAUCAGCACAUGAUGGCGUAUCAUCUCAGUGCGCCAUUAUUCUUCAGACCGCAUACACAAGCCUCAAGUGUCACCUCUGUCCAAGUUGCUAUGCUGCCUAAAGUGGCAAAAGAAUACAUUGAAACGAAGACAGAUAGCCAAAACAUAUACAGUACGUCAAAGGUCUCCAUAAAUGGAACAGAGUAUGCAAAUGGAAUGUUUGUCUCCGCAGGCCACACUGGAGGACUUCCGAAAUUCAGCCGGAUUGAGCAGAUACUGCUUGUGAAUAACUCUGCUUACUUUCUUUGCAGGAACUAUGAAUCCUGGUACAGUGAGCAUUUGAGGUCAUUUGAGCUAACAUCCUUGGACAACUUCUCUGUGCAUCAGCUGUCAGAGCUAAACGACACAGAUAUGGCCGCUGAAAACGUCCUACUUCAUGUCCAUACCUCCAUGGACAUUGUCAGGAAAAUGACUUUGUCUUCUCCUCCAGAAUCUGUGGAUGAGCUAAAAACAACGAUAAAAGAAAAGUUUAAGCUAGACUUUGAUUUUAGUUUAUCAUACCAAGAUCCAGACUUUGACGGGCAGUUAUGUUCCCUUGUAGACAUUGACGAGCUUCCACAGAAGGCUGUACUAAAAGUUAUUAGGGCUGAGAGUGAUGCCAGUUCAGUAGCAUCAGAUGAGACAAUAAUAUUGCCCCAUGCCAUGACUCCAGACAGGACUGAGAGAUGGCCUGAUGUUUUCCCAGUGCCUGCUUUUUCCUACGAGGUAGAACUUGUACUUGGUGAGGGAAAUGUUUCAUAUGAGAGAACAGGAAAAACCGUUAAGUUGUCUAGGGGACAAAACAUGACAUACUUGAGACCCUUGCAGCCAAAAUGCACAGCUUCAAAGCAUAUCGAAAUGAUAAGGAAUUUUCACUGGUAGCAGAAGCACUUGUUACCAAGCAUCCUUGUCUUACAGAGCCAGGGUCUCGAACAGGAUGGUAUGGUUGGAGAAAUAGUCUGAAGUUUAAGAUGGGGAACUACCGCUCUAAGUUGAGUCGGGCAGGAUUUCAUGAGGUAGCUGUAAAUUCUGGGAAGAGGAGUAGAAACAAUCCAGACAAAGAAGCUCCUCACACUAACAUCAAACGGCCAAAAAGGGCAGAGGUAAAUUUCCUCCCCAACUUCCCAAGAGGUGAAGAUGGCACAAGCCUUGAGCAAUUAAGACUGAAAAUUGUAGAUGAAGUUCAAAGGAGUGACAAAAACCUUCCCCUGAUUGCAAAGUUAAUGCAGACCACCUUUGCCCUACGGCGCAAAGAGGUCAUAAAUGAUGACCUACCUGUUGGAGAGAUCCUGGAACGCUGGCCUGCUCUUAAGAUAGAGUCACAGGUCUGUGCCGAGUUUCACAGGAUUGCAAACAUCAACCCGAAGAACCACUUCUAUGCUGAGUUGGACCGACAUGCCCCCGUCUUCAGAGCUUGUUCAGAAAGAGAGCUGCACGCACAGGGAAAGUAGCUGACACUCUGGGUCAGCUCUUUGAUGCUUAUGACCACCAGGUAAAUUGCUUAAGAUUGUUGGUGCUUAAAAGUUGUACUAUGUUGGUGUGUGUGUUUGUGUAGAUAUAUAAUAAUUCAUAUCUAUUUAGGUAUGCUGUUUAGUUACUGUUGUUCUGUUUUGUUCUUACACGCAAGGAACAAGUUGAUGUUCACAUCAAAUGGGCUGCUGUCCUUCGUACCCUCCCAGCUUAUCUUCAUGAAGAUGACUCUACAUUUCUGAAGUUUUGGGAUGUAAGUACAAUUAAGCAUUUGCUCUGCUACAAUGCAAUUACCAGUA